CUGCGAUGGAAAUCAUCUAACUUGUGUCCAAUGGCCAGGGGAGGAUCACGCAAUUUGACAUAACCACGAACAGGUUCCAUGGUCAAACCCGACAGUGGUAGAGCUACAAAGGGAACCAAGCUAAGGGCCGCCAGCGUGUACCACAGCCGCCCUGCAGCAAUCCUCCUCCGUUGCAAGAACGCGCUGCAGCAUUUGAACCAACCCCCUGGUCCAUUCCAGGAGCUGUCGCAAUGCAUCAACAAAGUCAUGGUAUUUUCAACCUGCCAGGUGCGAUCGUGGAGCAUGCUAGCUUCGAUACCAAGUAGGCCAUACUUUGAAAAGUUCAGGCCAAAUACGCCGACAAGGAACCAGGAGUAGUAUAUCCAAAGCUCAUUGGAGAAGCCAAAUUUGAGUGUAUGUCCUUCUCUCGUCUGGAUCAAUUUCCAGAUAAAAGCGAAGUAGGCCAGGACUAUUAUUGGGCCAAAAAUCACUGCCACAGCUCGAAGGGGGAACCUGCGUAACUUAUAGCUCUUGCGUUUGUCAUGGCUGAUUGCCUUGGCUGUGUUUGUCGUGACGGAGUCACCGUUUGUGACAUUCAGUGGCCUAGUGCAGAGGUUAAUGAACAAGUUAUCUUGAAACCUGCUGACUCCCGCCGCACAUUCCCAGGGCUCACGAUAUUUCUCUUUUCUCCUUUCUCCCAGGAAAAGCACUUACUCGAGCUCUGGUUCUGGUAGAUGAUCGUGACGAGGUGUUGUGGUCAUGUUUCAUAGAUUACUGAGGUUGAAUGGGGUUGAAUCGGUCCCCAGGAGCACACAAUGGUCAUCAGGAAAUGGCCCUCCUCCAGCCCUGGAGGUGUUGCUUUGGAAGACAUUGCUCAGGAGAUUUAAUCCUUUUCCUGCACAGAUUUUUUGUCGCUCGCAACGUUGCAAGUCAAAUCUUUAAAUAGUUGCAUCCCAUUCCUGCAACAAUUGAAGAUUGCCAGUUUACCAAUCACAGAGCCGCUGGCGGGCUAUAUUGCCUAAUAUGGCGAAGUCCAGCUCCACUCGGGGUAUCAGCAUCAAAACGGCUCAGGGCUAUUUUCGAUCCAAACCAGGCUGCUAUUCUUCUUUGGUAUGAUGAGAGGAGAAGGAGAUGGGGCCAAAGAUGUCUUGGGCUUCUCAAGAUUCCAAAAAUAGAGUCAGUUCGUUCUCGCGCCAACUUCGCCAAGCACACUGACAUCGGGCGUAUUUGUUGCAUGGAGAGCGCAAUUUCAUGCAGGCAUGGCUUGAGUAGCUGCAGGACAGGCGCAGACACUCGAAUACGAGUGGCCAGACUAAGCACGGAGGCCAAUCAAAUGAAUCUGCUUGGAUGCAGGAGAACUCCUCCGAGAGGAUUGGCGGGGAUGAUGUAUAUUGAAAUCAUUUUAUCUGAAUUGAAUCAGAAGGAUGAUAAUGACUGGAAAGGAUAUCGAAGUCCUGUACACUAUUUGGAUCGUGAACUCAUCUCCAAUUUUGAAGGGGAUUUGAAUUCUCGACCUUAAUAAUUACAUUCACAAUAUUUCGGAUGCAGAAGGACAACAAGGCCCGUGAACGUAACAGAUGCCAGCACAGUAAAAGAAAUUCAAACAAGACGCAUACAAAAAGAACAGAAUGAAAAAAAAAAAAAAAAAAUGAAAAUGAAAAUGAAAUUAGACCACUCCGGAGCGAGAAAAGGCAAAUAUGGAUAUAACCAGAGGGGGAAUUAAAAAGAUAAACAAAUGCUGAAUCUUUUAUGCAUCUAACUAUGUUACAAUUCAUCCUUAAGAUGGGCGCGGGUGGGCUUGCCGCUGUCUUUAUCAAGAUUCACGCCGUUCUUCUUGCGCCAUUUUUCGAAUAGCGCGAAGAAGUCCUUUUCCAUCCCUUUCUCCAUUUGGUCUGGGAGGACGACAGUGUAUUCGACGUAGAGAUUACCAUACUCUUCGCCGUGGUCAUGAGCAUUCAUAUGACCAUCGUGCCAGAUGGGCAUGCCUUCACCUUUUAUAGUUUCGACGGAGAGGGGUUGAACUACCUCACCCCGUUUCCGACGCAACUGGACGACAUGGCCGUCCAGGUGUGUGAUGUUGCGCGUCCAGUCUCCCAUCCAUGCUUCUCGGAGACUGAGAACUUCUCUCCAAAACAAGUCGUUAUCCUUCCGUCGGAAGAACGUACCAUCAGUUCGGUCGUUCUCGGCUUCGGAAAUCGCUGGUUCCCUCUCCUCAAGAUUAAUAACCAGAUCGCCGGCUAUCCAGUCGGGGCUUUCGUCUGCCUCGUUUUCAAACGUUAUCUUGGUUCCUUUGGGCAUCCCCCUCUCUAUCGUCACUGAUAUUGGGACGGCUUUCUUCACAACGCGCUGACCAUGGCAUACGGGACAGGGACGCCGUAUUGUCUUCCCUUGUCCGCCACACUUAUCGCAAUGCAUUUGAACCUGCUGGAAAAUCCCCGGGGCCAGCAUAUGCUUUUUAAUCACCGCUCCCCUACCUCCACACUGAUGGCAAGUCUCGACCUCCCCAUCAGCAGACCCAGUCCCCUCGCAAGCUUCGCAGAUCUGUUGUUUUUCCACUUCAAAAGUCGCCUCUCUGCCGUUAUAGAAAUCCCUGAGAGGCACUGAGAGGCGAACUUCCAUAGCAGGCCCAUGGCGUUGGCCGGGGGAAUGGCCAAAAUGUCCACCUCCUCCGAAGAAGCGCGAGAAAAUAUCGAAUGGGUCAUGUGUUCGUCCUCCGCCUUGCUUAUGCUGCUCUAGCCCUUCAUGUCCAUACUGGUCGUAAAUUUUCCUUGUCGAGGGAGUGGAUAGGACAUCGUAUGCCUCGGCAAUAUCGACAAAUUUCUGAUGCGCCGAAUCGUUUCCGCUAGAAGGGGAGAGCAAAAUGUGCGAAAUUAGCAAAUGGUCAUGAACGGGAGUUCUGAGCGGAGAAUUUAGGGAAAAAGGGGAACAAGCGCAUACGGAUUUUUGUCAGGAUGGAACUUUUUACUUAGCGUCCGAUAAGCUUUUUUUAUGUCACGAUCAGACGCGGACCUGUCCAGUCCCAAAAUUCUGUAGUAGUCCUCCGCGCACAGCACGACGGGGAGGAGCACGAGUACGGAAAACCCCAGAAGAAAGGGGAACGCGAGCAUGGCUGAACCAGCCUGGUGUCUCCAAGCCGCGAAUUUUUAUCUCCCCCAAUGUCUCAAUGAGGUGUACCGUGUAUAGGAACCCGGUUUGUGCUACCGUGGCAAUUCUAGGAUUUGGUCAACGAUCGGAGGUAUAAAUCCGCCCAUUCGAAUGGCCCAUGUAAAGAAACAUAAAUGAGAAGGGUAUCCACGAGUGACAAAAUAGUGCCGAAACUAAAAGGGCAGCGUAUAGUGUUUAUUCUAACAUUGAGAACCCCACGUUAAGAAAAACAUUAGGAGCUGGAGGAGUGAAGGAGUGUGUAAGUAAAUUAGAUGACAUCUGGCAGCUUUCAGGUGAUUCU
rnacentral:sRNA from 1 species